rnacentral:rRNA from 1 species
CGGGGGACAGGGUGACAGGUGGUGCAUGGUUGUCGUCAGCUCGUGUCGUGAGAUGUUGGGUUAAGUCCCGCAACGAGCGCAACCCCCGCGUUAGUUGCCAGCGGUUCGGCCGGGCACUCUAACGGGACUGCCCGCGAAAGCGGGAGGAAGGAGGGGACGACGUCUGGUCAGCAUGGCCCUUACGGCCUGGGCGACACACGUGCUACAAUGCCCACUACAAAGCGAGGCCACCCGGCAACGGGGAGCUAAUCGCAAAAGGUGGGCCCAGUUCGGAUUGGGGUCUGCAACCCGACCCCAUGAAGCCGGAAUCGCUAGUAAUCGCGGAUCAGCCAUGCCGCGGUGAAUACGUUCCCGGGCCUU